rnacentral:rRNA from 1 species
AUUGAACGCUGGCGGAAUGCUUUACACAUGCAAGUCGAACGGCAGCACGGGGGCAACCCUGGCGGCGAGUGGCGAACGGGUGAGUAAUACAUCGGAACGUGCCCAGUCGUGGGGGAUAACUACGGGAAACCGUAGCUAAUACCGCAUACGAACUCUGGUUGAAAGCGGGGGAUCGCAAGACCUCGCGCGAUUGGAGCGGCCGAUGGCAGAUUAGGUAGUUGGUGGGGUAAAGGCUCACCAAGCCGACGAUCUGUAGCUGGUCUGAGAGGACGACCAGCCACACUGGGACUGAGACACGGCCCAGACUCCUACGGGAGGCAGCAGUGGGGAAUUUUGGACAAGUGGGGGAACCCUGAUCCAGCCAUGCCGCGUGCGGGAAGAAGG